CCUACGGGAGGCAGCAGUAGGGAAUAUUGCUCAAUGGGGGAAACCCUGAAGCAGCAACGCCGCGUGGAGGAUGAAGGUUUUCGGGUUGUAAACUUCUUUUGUUAGAGAAGAUAAUGACGGUAUCUAACGAAUAAGCAACGGCUAACUCCGUGCCAGCAGCCGCGGUAAUACGGAGGGUGCAAGCGUUACUCGGAAUCACUGGGCGGAAAGAGCGCGUAGGCGGGAUAGCAAGUCAGUUGUGAAAUCCUAUGGCUUAACCAUAGAACUGCAUUUGAAACUGUUAUUCUAGAGGAUGGGAGAGGAAUGUGGAAUUCUUGGUGUAGGGGUAAAAUCCGUAGAGAUCAAGAGGAAUACGCAUUGCGAAGGCGACCUGCUAGAACAUAACUGACGCUGAUGCGCGAAAGCGUGGGGAGCAAACAGGAUUAGAUACCCUAGUAGUC
rnacentral:rRNA from 1 species